AGCCGCGGUAAUACGGAGGAUCCGAGCGUUAUCCGGAUUUAUUGGGUUUAAAGGGAGCGUAGAUGGAUGUUUAAGUCAGUUGUGAAAGUUUGCGGCUCAACCGUAAAAUUGCAGUUGAUACUGGAUAUCUUGAGUGCAGUUGAGGCAGGCGGAAUUCGUGGUGUAGCGGUGAAAUGCUUAGAUAUCACGAAGAACUCCGAUUGCGAAGGCAGCCUGCUAAGCUGCAACUGACAUUGAGGCUCGAAAGUGUGGGUAUCAAACAGGAUUAGAUACCCUGGUAGUCCACACGGUAAACGAUGAAUACUCGCUGUUUGCGAUAUACUGCAAGCGGCCAAGCGAAAGCGUUAAGUAUUCCACCUGGGGAGUACGCCGGCAACGGUGAAACUCAAAGGAAUUGACGGGGGCCCGCACAAGCGGAGGAACAUGUGGUUUAAUUCGAUGAUACGCGAGGAACCUUACCCGGGCUCAAACGACACAGGAAUACUUUUGAAAGGAGGUAGCCAGCAAUGGUCUGUGUCGAGGUGCUGCAUGGUUGUCGUCAGCUCGUGCCGUGAGGUGUCGGCUUAAGUGCCAUAACGAGCGCAACCCUUGUUGUCAGUUACUAACAGGUUCCGCUGAGGACUCUGACAAGACUGCCAUCGUAAGAUGUGAGGAAGGUGGGGAUGACGUCAAAUCAGCACGGCCCUUACGUCCGGGGCUACACACGUGUUACAAUGGGGGGUACAGAGGGCCGCUACCACGCGAGUGGAUGCCAAUCCCAAAAACCUCUCUCAGUUCGGACUGGAGUCUGCAACCCGACUCCACGAAGCUGGAUUCGCUAGUAAUCGCGCAUCAGCCACGGCGCGGUGAAUACGUUCCCGGGCCUUGUACACACCGCCCGUCAAGCCAUGGGAG
rnacentral:rRNA from 1 species